CAGUAGCCGCGGUAAUACGAAGGGGGCUAGCGUUGUUCGGAUUUACUGGGCGUAAAGCGCACGUAGGCGGACUUUUAAGUCAGGGGUGAAAUCCCGGGGCUCAACCCCGGAACUGCCUUUGAUACUGGGAGUCUUGAGUUCGAGAGAGGUGAGUGGAAUUGCGAGUGUAGAGGUGAAAUUCGUAGAUAUUCGCAGGAACACCAGUGGCGAAGGCGGCUCACUGGCUCGAUACUGACGCUGAGGUGCGAAAGCGUGGGGAGCAAACAGGAUUAGAUACCCCGGUAGUCCCUGUCUCUUAUAA
rnacentral:rRNA from 1 species